AGAUAAGCAGCAUAAAUAGCUGCCCAAGAAUCAGAGAUAUGACUAAUUCCUAUUCAUUAGACACAUGCAAUAUAAAUAACUACUUUUUUCACUACUCAUUAAGUACAGCGAAAUUCCUUCAGCCCUAUCACAGGCGUCCAGGUCUGCUUCCACACUGUCUCCUUUGAAUAAAUCCAUGUCGUCAUUCUGAAGGCUUGUACUUCCAAUAAAAGGAAAUGGGAAAGGCUGUGCGCCACGGGCAUCCUCCUCUACCUCUGCAGCUCUGGUUCCUGGGGAUUUAAGAAGAUGGGCUCCAGGGGGAUUUUCACUGGGUCACUGCAUCAGUGUUGGAGCUUUCCCUGGGGCUGCGCACAUGUUGCCACACAGCCGAGGGCAGGGGAAACUGUGCCAUUUCAGCUCAACUUGAUUACAGGGAAGCACUACACAAGACUAGAGCUUCGUAAGGAUCCUGCAGGUCAAUCUGUCCUGCCUCCAGAAACCCAGCUCCAGGCGCUCUUUUGAUUCUGAAGGUAUGCCCUGCCUAACUCACUGUGAGCUUAGUGAGACAGUGCACGUUGCCCAGCAGCCAUGGUUCUGCAUUGACUUGAAACAAUGGGACUGACUGCUGUUGUGCUGGGCUUUGUUCCACAGAGGUAGGCUCACUAUUUAAACCAUAUGUUGAAUUAUAGCCUUGUAAGUAGGAGGAAAACUAAAGCAUAUUUCACUGGGUUCUACAAAAGCACUGAAUGGGUGUCAUUUUUAUCAAGGUUUUAUGUGCACUAUCCAAACACCAAACUGUUGUGCUGUAGAAUGAAAUUUAAGGUGAGCUGUUGUAUUACAUGUCUAGAGGUGACUGCAUCAGUAGUAGUCCACAGUUUGUAGUCCUUGCCUCAGGAUUCGAGGCUGAUGCUUAGAGAUGAGUUUUUGGGUGGUGAAGAAGGAUUGCUAAGAUUAGAGCUGGACAUUUGAUUUUCAGAGGUAUGAUGGUCUAUUUCCUAGGGGGUGUUGAAGCUGCUCAGGAUGAGCCCUUGACAUUCAGGUAGUUGAAACACAAAGUGCUCCUAUGUUUUUCUGAUGCACCCAAAGGUAAUGUGAGUUUUGCAAGCCAGUCUUGCUGUUGGGGUUAGGGCUGACAUUCUCCAAAACUGACUGUUUGAAACUGUACCUGUCUUCUGUUUUAAUUAGGUGGGGUUCAUGGCUAGAAACCUGAGCUAAGCAGAAUGCUAAGUGUGGUGGGUUAGUGCUGGGCUGGAGUGCAAAGGAUGUCUGCUUGGCCUGCAGCUACGAUGCUGUACCUGGCCUUGAUUGCACUACUGAAGCAUUUUGGGACAUAGC